CAUAUCAUACCCUAAAUUCUAUAAGGGUCUAUCUUGAUGGGAUAGCCAUGCUCGCUUAGAGUUGAUAUGA
rnacentral:tRNA from 1 species